UAGCUAGACUAGACCCAUCUAUACCACUAGGCCCUAGAUAUAGCUAGACUAGACCCAUCUAUACCACUAGGCCCUAGAUAUAGCUAGACUAGACCCAUCUAUACCACUAGGCCCUAGAUAUAGCUAGACUAGACCCAUCUAUACCACUAGACCCUAGAUAUAGCUAGACUAGACCCAUCUAUACCACUAGGCCCUAGAUAUAGCUAGACUAGACCCAUCUAUACCACUAGGCCCUAGAUAUAGCUAGACUAGACCCAUCUAUACCACUAGGCCCUAGAUAUAACUAGACUAGACCCUUAGGACCAAACAUUGGCUGGCUAUAUAAAUGAUGGUUAACACUGAUACUGCUUGACUGCCCACACAGAACUCAAUGUUUUUUGUAAUGACACGUGAUGUGAGAGAUACUCAACAGUUCCCAAAACCACUCUACCAUCAUACAACCUAGAGGUCGUACCAGGUCCGUCCAUCUCACACCAGGUCUCAUACCUACAGAGAACGGGAUGUCAUUUGAAGAAGGAUGUCUUAGCUGUUCCAUCCAUUGUCUACAAAACAUUCCGGCUACGCUGUAGAAUUCCAGAAUAGAACACCGCUGGGAAUGUCUUCUGAAAUCAAACACACACCACCAUUCUACAAUACAGGUUUCCCAAAACAUAACCUCUACAGAUGUAUUUAAACACAGCUAAUCCUCUACUAUAUUACACAACAGCUGCCUCAGAUACACAGACAUGGUGUGCCAUCGACUAGUUCUGGUUAAACAGGCAGGCUUGAACAUGCCUGGUACUAACUGGGAGGGAACCAUAUGUUCUGAUUACUCAACUGUUACAUAGCCCUCGGUAAAAGGACCAGAGCCAACAGGAGGCUGGGUGUCAACCCAGUAACCCAGCUAGCAGGUCUCUACUGGAGCACGGUGAGGGAUGGGCCCAGUAACCCAGCUAGCAGGUCUCUACUGGAGCACGGUGAGGGACGGGCCCAGUAACCCAGCUAGCAGGUCUCUACUGGAGCACGGUGUAGGACGGGCCCAGUAACC
rnacentral:lncRNA from 13 species